rnacentral:rRNA from 1 species
CCUACGGUGGCAGCAGUGGGGAAUAUUGGACAAUGGGCGAAAGCCUGAUCCAGCCAUGCCGCGUGUGUGAAGAAGGCCUUCGGGUUGUAAAGCACUUUCAGUGGGGAAGAAAGCCUUGGGGCUAAUACCCUCGAGGAAGGACAUCACCCACAGAAGAAGCACCGGCUAACUCCGUGCCAGCAGCCGCGGUAAUACGGAGGGUGCGAGCGUUAAUCGGAAUUACUGGGCGUAAAGCGCGCGUAGGCGGUCUGAUAAGCCGGUUGUGAAAGCCCCGGGCUCAACCUGGGAACGGCAUCCGGAACUGUCAGGCUAGAGUGCAGGAGAGGAAGGUAGAAUUCCCGGUGUAGCAGUGAAAUGCGUAGAGAUCGGGAGGAAUACCAGUGGCGAAGGCGGCCUUCUGGACUGACACUGACGCUGAGGUGCGAAAGCGUGGGUAGCAAACAGGAUUAGAUACCCCGGUAGUC